rnacentral:rRNA from 1 species
GACGAACGCUGGCGGCGUGCUUAACACAUGCAAGUCGAACGGAAAGGCCCUGCGCUUGCGGGUUUCUCGAUUGGCGAACGGGUGAGUAACACGUGUGUAACCCGCCCUUGUCUUUGGGAUAACUUUAGGAAACUGGGGCGAUUAUCCCAUAGGAUCUACUGCUGCACGGGGGGGGUUGGAAAGUGUCGGCGGUUGUGGCUCGAUUAGCUGCUUAUCAGCCUGUUUGGGAGGUAGUGGCGUACCAAGUCUGUGACGGGUAGGCGGCAUGAGAGGGGUGACGGCCACAUUGCGACUGCGAUACGGAGCAGUCGCCUACCGGAGGCAGCAGUGGGGAAUAUUGCGCAAUGGGGGGGCGCCUGAUGCAGCAACGCCGCGUGCGGGAUGCCGGCCUUCGGGUUGUGAACCGCUUUCGCAUGUAACGAAGCGUGCGUGACGGUAAUGGGUAAAGAAGCACCGGCUAACUACGUG